UCCGAGUUGACCCCGGCAGUCUCCUGAGAGUGCCCGGCAUUACCCGGUAGCAACACAGGACAAGGGUUGCGCUCGUUGCGGGACUUAACCCAACAUCUCACGACACGAGCUGACGACAGCCAUGCAGCACCUGUGUCCAGGUUCCCUUUCGGGCACCACUGCAUUUCUGCAGCGUUCCUAGCAUGUCAAGGGUAGGUAAGGUUUUUCGCGUUGCAUCGAAUUAAACCACAUGUUCCACCGCUUGUGCGGACCCCCGUCAAUUCCUUUGAGUUUUAAUCUUGCGACCGUACUCCCCAGGCGAAUCACUUAACGCGUUAGCUUCGACACCAAUCCAGCAAAGCCGAACUGACAUCCAGUGAUUAUCGUUUACAGCGUGGACUAC
rnacentral:misc_RNA from 1 species